rfam:Erinaceus europaeus unplaced genomic scaffold scaffold00061, whole genome shotgun sequence
AUGUGCUCGCUUCGGAAACACAUAUACUAACUAAAACCAGAAUGAUACAGAGAGGAUUAACAUGGUCCCUGUACAAGGAUGACACACAAAUUCGAGGAUGUUCCAUUUUUUU